CCCUUAGAUGUCCUGGGCUGCACGCGUGCUACAAUGAUACGUGCAACGAGUUAAUCCUGCUCUGAAAGGAGUGGGUAAUCUUAUGAAUGCGUAUCGUGCUUGGGAUUGACCAUUGUAAUUAUUGGUCAUGAACGAGGAAUUCCUAGUAAGCACAAGUCAUCAGCUUGUGCUGAUUACGUCCCUGCCCUUUGUACACACCGCCCGUCGCUCCUACCGAUUGAGUGUUCCGGUGAAUUAUUCGGACUGCAGCAAUGUUCGGAUCCCGAACGUUGCAGCGGAAAGUUUAGUGAACCUUAUCACUUAGAGGAAGGAGAAGUCGUAACA
rnacentral:rRNA from 1 species